AUUGAACGCUGGCGGAAUGCUUUACACAUGCAAGUCGAGCGGCAGCGCGGGGGCAACCCUGGCGGCGAGCGGCGAACGGGUGAGUAAUACAUCGGAACGUGUCCUUAAGUGGGGGAGUAGCUCGGCGAAAGCCGGAUUAAUACCGCAUAAGCUCUGAGGAGGAAAGCGGGGCUCCGUAAGGACCUCGCGCUGUUGGAGCGGCCGAUGUCGGAUUAGCUAGUUGGUGGGGUAAAGGCCCACCAAGGCGACGAUCCGUAGCUGGUCUGAGAGGAUGAUCAGCCACACUGGGACUGAGACACGGCCCAGACUCCUACGGGAGGCAGCAGUGGGGAAUUUUGGACAAUGGGGGCAACCCUGAUCCAGCCAUGCCGCGUGCGGGAAGAAGCCU
rnacentral:rRNA from 1 species